rnacentral:rRNA from 1 species
GAGUUUGAUCGUGGCUCAGAACGAACGCUGGCGGCAGGCUUAACACAUGCAAGUCGAACGCGUGUAGCAAUACACGAGUGGCGCACGGGUGAGUAACACGUGGAUAUCUGCCUUUUGGUUCGGAAUAACCCUGGGAAACUAGGGCUAAUACCGGAUGGUUCCUACGGGAUAAAGAUUUAUCGCCAAAAGAUGAGUCCGCGUCCGAUUAGCUAGUUGGUGAGGUAAUGGCUCACCAAGGCGACGAUCGGUAGCUGGUCUGAGAGGACGAUCAGCCACACUGGGACUGAGACACGGCCCAGACUCCUACGGGAGGCAGCAGUGGGGAAUAUUGGACAAUGGGGGCAACCCUGAUCCAGCCAUGCCGCGUGAGUGAUGAAGGCCUUCGGUUGU